CCUACGGGGGGCAGCAGUGAGGAAUAUUGGUCAAUGGACGAGAGUCUGAACCAGCCAAGUCGCGUGAAGGAUGACUGCCCUAUGGGUUGUAAACUUCUUUUAUAAAGGAAUAAAACGAGGCACGUGUGCCUUUUUGCAUGUACUUUAUGAAUAAGGAUCGGCUAACUCCGUGCCAGCAGCCGCGGUAAUACGGAGGAUCCGAGCGUUAUCAGGAUUUAUUGGGUUUAAAGGGAGCGUAGAUGGGUUGUUAAGUCAGUUGUGAAAGUUUGCGGCUCAACCGUAAAAUUGCAAUUGAUACUGGCAGUCUUGAGUACAGUUGAGGUAGGCGGAAUUCGAGGUGUAGCGGUGAAAUGCUGAGAUAUCACGAAGAACCCCGAUUGCGAAGGCAGCUUACUAAACUGUGACUGACACUGAUGCUCGAAAGUGUGGGUAGCAAACAGGAUUAGAUACCCCAGUAGUC
rnacentral:rRNA from 1 species